ACUCUUUAGUGUUUCUUAUUAAACAUUGGUCUUGGACUCGGAGUGCGAGAACGGACUGCUGAAGAUUUUUAGUCAUCUUGGCCCGGUCAUCUUUAAUUGUCAGGCAAAGAAAGCGAGUUUUAAUAAUACAUUACAAGUUUAGCCAAGCAGUACCCGUCUUAAAGUUUACAUCAAAAGAUAUUGUCACUUUUGUGGUUGGGACAUCUUGAUCGUGAAGAGCUGCAUUGCUAGAAGAAACAAUGUUUCUUUGGUUGGAUGCUCAUUUAGUGCUGCAUCAGUGCUUUCACAACUUUCCUCAAGUUGAAUAGCAGAAAUCUGAACAUUUUUAAAGAGCACGCUGGAGAUACAUGUCAGAUGAAUAUGAAAGAGACUGAUGUCAGAGUUUAGCAGUAUUUAAAACCUAAAGCAGAUGAGAGGCCAAAGGAUGUGAAGUAAUUUGGCAUUGUCAGUCAACACGAUCAACAAUCACUCAUCAUGAAAUCAAAUUAUUUUACCAACAACAGAAGGCAGAAGCCCCUAGUGAAGGAAUCUGGGCUCUUGAAACCUGUUCAUUUAUGAGCUUUCGUAAAGGCAUCGGCCUUUUGAAAGGCGCUGAUCAAUACCAAUCUCUAAUAUUGAAGACCAUCAGCAAACUUAAAUAUAUGAGAUACAACAAUGUGCGGUUGACGAACAUUUCACAUUUCCAGGAAGAGACCAACAAGAGAAGCAAGUAUUCAGGUAUUGGUUAUGGUAGCAGGGAAGAGAAUCCACCAGUUCUCCUUGAGUCACCAUUUCCAGAAGAAUGGCUCAAGUCUUCAAGGGAUGCAGAGGACAUUGACAUUUGACCAUGCAGAUGAAGGAAGAGGUUCACAAGAGAAGCUUAGCAAGUAGUCAAGUGAUACUGAGAGCAUUGUUUAUGGCCUAAAGAUUGAGUAUUCAAGGCAUGCAGAGAACAUUCACAACGGGGAAGAGAAACCGUGGUCACUCACUGAAUCUUCUUCAGGAAUAGGAUCUUUGUUUCUGUUCUAAGUAUUCAAGAGAUUCUGUUCCAAGUAUUCAAGAGAUUCUGGAGCAGUGGUUAAUGGCAGCAGAGCAUCACUCCAUGCAUCACUUCCAGAAAAAGGACCAGGAGCAAGGUUUGGUUUAACCUUUUGUUGUUGUCAGUGAAGUAUUGUUGAUGAAUCUGUUUCCUACAUAUAUGUUUGAUGGUAAAGAGUAAAACAAAAAAGGUUUGAAAUUCAUUAUUCAUUUUUGUCAGUUUUGAAGCAGGAAUUCAAUUAAAACUAAUAUGCAGGCUUUACAAUGUAAUGUGUAAAUUAUGAUUCAUGACUUUUUUUGUAGCUUGAAUUUUUUUUGUGUUUAAGAAGUAUAUUCUGCAAGUUUCAAUAGGAAACAGCAAGGGCAAAAUAUAAAGCGAUAUAGAUUAGAUUAUUUUGGCUGUAAGACCAAAGAUGGUAUCUCAUAGCAAUGCUUUUUUCUGUCAACUCCUGGUGGGUGUUUCAUAAAGCUGUUCGUACAAAGUUAAGAGCGACUUUUAGAAUGACUGGUGAACCUUAUGCGCUAAAUUAUCGCCAAUGAACUUUUAGUGGUGAAUAUCAUUUACCACAAGAAAGGAUCACUAGUCGAACUUAAAGUCACUCUUAUGAACAGCUUUAUGAAAUGGCUCCCAGGGUCCAUUCCAUCCAGCAAUGGGGUCUAUGUCCAUAUGUCAGUUGAAUUAAAUCUCUGUGGCUGCUGCUGUUUAACAAAUAAUCAUCAAAAUAUUUGGGUGGCCUAAUUACCCGAUGCUGUUUCAGAUUGCAAUCGCUAAAUUGUUGCCUGCUACUAAAUAUCAGUUUCUUUUUUCAGAAUAAAGUUAUUACAAGACUCAAUGCCCCAUCUCAAAAGAGGUUUCAAUUGUACCAUGGUUCAAAACCAUGGACUAUGCAGGUAUGUGUACAUUAUUAUGAUUAUUUUAUCACAUCUACUAAGAAAAGCCCAAUUAUGUAUGCAAGUCCAUGGAUUUGAACUGUGGCGUGGCCCAAUUGAAACCUCUUUAAAGAAUAUUGGCCUAUAUUAAACAAAGUUCAGAUACUUGACUUUGAAGGUCUUUGGAAUGCAUACUCAACUCCGCUUCUUUUUCUUUAUCCUGGUUAAGAAUGGAGAGUCAUAAUAUAGAUAUAUGGACUGCUUUGAGAGGCAUGGUUGUUUCUAGAGGCUCAAGGGGACUGCAACGCGACUGCCCGAGGGCAUAGUCUGGCCGGUGCGGUACCUGCGAGCCAAAAGAAACUACCAUGUCUCGAAUAUAAAAGCAGUCCAUAUAUAUUUUAUGAACCGAAUUAAACAUUAGCUCUAGUCUAGAUCUAGGUCUAGGUCUAGAUCUUAAGAAGUUAGGGUCUAAGCCUAAACGCCGUAGCCCAUGCUAACAUCAGGCCUAACUUGUUAUGUUAGGAGUAGGACCUAACUUAGGUCUCGAAUUCGAAUAUCAAAGCAGUCCAUACUGGUAUGGUAGCGGUAGUAGGAACCAAAUUAGGGUCUGAUUGAAUAGACCUACCGUAAGCCUAGCCUGAGUCUUAAAUCUCCAAUAGAGUCUAACUUUAGAUCUAACGUAGACCCCUACGUCAGAUCUAAGAUUAAACGGAACAUUAGGUCUAAGUUAGAUCUAGAGUCUACUCUAACUUCUAAGCUAACGUUAGAUCUAACAACAACAUUAUCAUUAGACCUAACGCCUGGACCUAACAUUGUUGUUUGUCAUACCGAACCUUUGAUCUAUGCAGUGACCGUCUUAUCUUUUUAGCCGAAUCCCCUUUUGCGAGCAUGCAUUUGAACCAUAGAGAUAUGAUUUGAACGAACAACUGCAAUAAGACUUGAUGAUUGAUACAUCUGUUAUGUCCUUAUAAGUUAGUCUUCUUUUCAAUAAUGCCAUAUUUUUUAACAGGAAUAAACAAGCAAAGCUCAAGAUCGGCAUCAUUCCUGCGAUAUGUCAUAUCCAUUGUGCGCAAUAAGCGCGUAAAUGCGCGAAUUGUCUAAAACUUUCGAUCAAAUCACAUGGAUAUUUGAUCCGCAAUCACCGCAGGAAGCAACAUUUUGCAGGCAUUCAAAUGGAGAUCUCGGCCAAAUUUUGCUAUGCCCGUCGUUAAAACUUUACCAGCGUACCAUUCCUGAGCACCAGUAAUUUCAACCUCAUAGAAGUGUUCAACUUGUUUUCCUACACAUUUGCAGUGAAGGUUUGAGAAAAAUCAUACCAUCAAUUUAAGAAUUGAGUAUAGAAUAUAGACAAAUCCAUUUUGUUCAGUGCAUGCCAGCCACUCAUGUGAUCUGGGAAACCUCUGAUGCAGACAAACACAUAGGCCCAUAUUUUGAAGUCAGGUUAAGCUUAAACUCAAGUUUAAAGUUGUGGUUUAAGUAUGGAUAGCCAAUUGUUUCAUAAAUCACUAACAGUAGAGAUAUCAUAUAUCAGCUCAUUUGGCUCUUAAAUCAUUCAUAAUUGUUAAUAGGAAGUAUAAAUAAAUGAUUGUCUUUACCAUUGAAGAAUCAGGAAAGAGCACAGUAAAUAUAAUAAACAUACAACUUAAUAAUAUUUUUGAAACUUUAGGCUUCCCAUAAUUUUAGCACAGAGAUAGACCAUGGUUUUAGUUAAACCUGACUUCAAAAUGCGGGCCAUAGGGUUUGUCUAUAUGUACCUGAGCAGUAGAUCUGGCUUCCGGGUCACAAAAGGAUUUUUCUCAGGAAAUAUUUCUGAAACUAGAUGAUUGUUUCCUUUCCCAGACUGGUAGCAUAUCUUCAAGGUGACCUCAAAGCUAUGUUGCUUUUGUAAUCUUACAGGGUCUCUUUAUCAGAUAGUUAAUUCCAAUCUUUAACCUGGCUUGUACUACUUUGGUCUACUUUCUAAGAUGCUGUCAAUUAUAGGAAUGAAAUGUGUGCCAUCAAACAAGUCACUCAUGUUGCCACCUUUCAAUGCUUACCAUCACCAUAAAUUGAAUGUUGUCCUUGCCCCUUGUCUGACUUCCUAACCUAACUAGGGUCUUUUUGUCCACCUUUCCUCUUCCACAGCCAAUGACCAAUGUUCAAUAUGAUUUAGUUUGUUUUGCAAUUUAUACAGCUUUCUACAUCAUCCUUCUGAUCAGAAAUAAUACCAAAGAUUCUAUGAAAGAUUUUCUUGAAUUCUUUCCCUUCAGGUUUGCAUUAUUGAGCAGUUCUUGGAUUCUUACACGGAAGAGAGCACCAAAAUUUGAACAGAUUAUGGUCUCUUUUCUCUACAAAUUAUGAAAUAUGUCGUGGAGUUAUGGAAUGCAAUAGGUGUGAGUUUGACUCAAAAGGAUUCUGUCACCGCAGCAGUAGUGUCACUCCCCAUAUCCAUCAUUCUUAAAGUUCAAUCUGUUAUUGUGAAUCGAAAGUUUUGGGACUUCUUGUGGAAUUUUGUUGUUCCAGCCCCAUGGAUAAUGUUCCCCAUUAUACUCAAAUCGUUCUUUGCAUAAUGUCGUGUUGGGAUCGGUAAUUAUAAGAAGGGAAACGUAAUGAGGAAACUUUGGAGAAAGUUAUACAGUUCAAAAUCACAAAGUAUUUAAUUAUCAAUAUUCAGCUACAAUUCGAAGUACAUGAAGAUUCAGAUGUAAUAGGAGACUAUGAAUAUAAAAUAAUUUAGAAAUAUCAGAUUGAGAUUCGGAGUGAAGUUAAAUUAAUAUUCGAUGGACGUCUAAGUCUUGAAGUCAGUCAGUCUAUCUGGAUGAGUGUGGGUCUAGUAUUCUUCUGUAUUCUAUCUCUCUAAUAAUCAAGAAGUCUUAUUUAUAUCAUUAGUUUUGGGGGUGUAACUAUUUAAGGUGGGAGUGAUCUAAACUUGAUCUGAUUGGACUACAGGUAACUGUCUAUCAAACUUUCUCUGGUAUAAGGGGUGUGGUGAUGCUCUAUGCAAGUGACUGGGGCUGGAAGUGUGAGUCAUACUUUUUAGAACCUUUGUUCCUUUAAGUUAGCUGAUGUCACCGAGGGUUGGUAUUUUUAUGGUCAAGGUUUAGGAGUUAAAUGGUAUUGGGGGUUUGGGAAUUCUUAGAUGACAUUGGGGGAGUUUGUAAACAAGUGAAGGUGAAUGACUGAAAGGAUAACAGGAAGUUAAAUACAUACUACAUAACAAUAAGCUAAAUUGCUCUCCGGCUUUUGAAUCUUUCUUUUUCCGUCUCGAACGUCCUGUACGAGUUUGCGUUUUGUUUGGCUCCCUGUUUUAUUGGGGAUUUUGAAAGAAUAUGUACCGUUAUCAAACUUUUCCCUCAAUUCAUUCUUUCCUCUUGACCCUUUGGUGUUCGUCCAAGAUUUCUAAAUUUGAAAAAACUUACUUUUCAGAGAAUUUAAACAUGUGACUGUAACAUGGACUUUGUCGAGAGGAAUUGCAUACUGUGACAUGAGGAUCACAACCAUAUUCAGAUUAUUAUCCGAGAGGCAUCCAUCCAUGUUUUGGAUCAUACUGAAGAGAAAGAUUUCAGAAAUAUCCAAUUCAAGAGUAUGCAUAUAGCAUUUUCUCCCUCAUUGUUUGACACAGCUUGAGUACACAGAAACAAGCCAGCAAAAUGAACAAGAAAUGCAUUAACACAUCCAUCAUUAAAUACUUUGAGAUUUGUCAAAUUUCAACAAACAAAAAUGGUUACAUGUAACUUCCAAAAAAUGAAAAAUUAAGAAUAAAAGGGAGCUAACAACAGUCAAAGUUCUCGAUUACAAUAGACUUGUUUGAAUCGACAAAAGUGCCUCUCUGGGCAAAGGCAGUGCAGGUCCACCCUGACAGUUUUGCAAUAUACGGACUUCACUUCAUUCUCCCCUUGAGCAUUGUCAAUUAUACAUGUAGUAUACCCAUUGUUUUGCACACACUAGUCUAUCAUGUUACACUCAAGAUUUUCUGCAUCUGCCUCAGUCAAGAUCUCUGGCUUAUGUUGCCGAAUAGAGUGGCAGAAAUGAAUGUGAUUACAAAUGCAUCCCCCAUUCCUAUUAUAAUGUUCACACUCACAGAAAAGCUUGGUGGGAACAACUUUGUACAUUACACCUGGUGUCCUUUCAGAUUCUGGAAAAAAUGUGUUCUCCGUGGUUGUGAAUAUUGCCAGUUAACUUUGUCAACCAGCCCUUCCUCACAAGAUGCUCUGCUCUGACAAUACCCGAGGACUGUCUCUUUAUACAAUCCUUUCAUGGAAUCUUGACUUUAUCAUGAGAUAUUUUAACACCUGGUUCAUUCACAAAUUGAUGAGAUCAUCAAGUCGACAUUUUUGUGUCAUUUUAGAACUGAUGCUUGAGUCUCAAUAAGAAUCAGGGGAUGGGGGAGCAGAAUUUUAAAGUUGAUUGUUUGUGUUUAUAGUAAACAAAUGGUGUCAAGAAACGCAACUCUGGGGCAUCAUAUGGUAAAUCACAGAAAGGUCAAACAUUUUCUUUAUAUUCCACCAUCUGUAUGUUAGGCAGUCGUUAGUCCAUCCAUUUGGUCCCUUAUACAAAUGUUCAUACAUUUUGUACAAUCUUGUUUGGCUAGCUUGCGACUAGCUAGAUUGUUUCAAAUAUGUAAAUGAGUUGCAUGCUCUGUUGCUAGAACUAGCUUGCAGCAAUUUAUACAACUAGCUCAGCUGGGCUAUCUAGCAGCUAAAUUGUAUACUUGGAAUGAAACCAGUUUGAAACAAGCUAGUAAAACCAGCUUUUUACAAGCUAGUUUAGCAAGGAUGCAUGCAACUCAUUUGCAGUCCUCGGGACUGGCAGUUUUCUUUCUUUGUAUCAAAAUUGAAGUACAUAAAGAUAAUUGAUAAUCAUUUUGUGAUAAAAAUUUUUACUUCGUUGUAACAGGAAUUUUGUUAUAUAACCGUGUUUGUUACAAUCGGAGUGCACUGUACACCAUGAUAUUAUAAAUUUCAUAUUGCUGUGAAUCAAAAUUUUGUAUAUGGGUUGCAAAAACAAUAAAGAAAAAAAAAAAAUCAAUUUUGGGACCCGAAGAUUUUAUUUGUAUAAAAAUAUUUAGUUAUAUUAGGGUCCUUUAUGAGAAUCCAGUAUAAUGCAAAAAGUAAACUCGUUGAGGGAAACUUGGAGCUCUUGCUGACAAACGUCGUUCAUACCGUCAACCCCCUCUUCAACUUGCUCUUCAACAUCACGAGCUAUCAGACCUAUACCACAGAGUUUCCUGAAGCACUUUUGGAUGGUUUCAGGGCUGGUUUCCCUCCAUGAACUAACGACCCAGUUGAUGGCCUGUAGAACGUCUGUCUUCUUCAGUAAUUCAGGUGCUCUCAGCCCAGGCUCUUGCUCCAUACCUCUCAGCUGCUUCUUCCUGAACUUCAGCUUAGUUGCCUGUAUUAUGCCUUGGUCCAUGGGCUGGGUGAUGGAAGUUUGGCGAGUUUGCUGAUGGAGAGCUGCAGUUGGGGAUGACAGAGGGCGUUGUCAAGAAGCAUCAAGAUGUGCCGGCGCUGUCUAGUUAUCUUGGUGUUGAGAGACUUCAUGUAUAGCUUGAACAGGGUGCUAGUCAUCCAAGCCUUCUUGUUAGCAUGAUAGUCUACUGCAAGGCUUUUCCUGUCGAUUCUGCCAAAACAGUUGGAGUUGAUCGAUUUCCUGAUGACCAUAGGUUUCUCCUUCUCCCCAAGUGCAUUGGUGCCCAGCAUCAACGUGAGCCGCUCUUUCGAUCUCUUACCUCUUAAGCAGUCAGCGCCUUUGAAGUGCAGAAUGCUGUCGACCGAAGCCUUGAAGAAAAGACCAGUCUCAUCCAUAUUAAAGAUGUCUCUCAGCUCAUAACCAUCACAAAACUAAGGCAACUUUGUCUUCCAAAGGAAACGCUGACAGGAAACAUUCGGGCUGUAGAAUCCUUGAACCACUGGUAGACCAUGGAGUUGAGUUCAUCGUUGCUGGGUCUUGCAGAAUUUUCUUUCCUGUUGAGAGGAACAUGGCUUUCAAACUCCUCUAUCCAUUCUUGCUUUCUCUUGAGAAUGUAGGAGAUUUGUGUUCUACCACAUCAAUGACCUUGGGUGCUUAACCUCUGAGCAGUAGAUCGAGCGCUCAACUUCUGCUGAUCGUGCAUCUUGAUGACUUCAAUUUUCUUUUCAAGAGAGAGUGGAUGGCUACCCCCGAUUGCGGUGUUAUUAGGAGCCAUUGCAGAUUCUUGGAGUAGUGUAUCUGAGUAUAAACGGAAGUUUAUGAAACUGAGUUGAUGACAUGCGAGGUGAGGGUAGACGAUUUUGAUGAAUAGAACAGCAGGUUGUAGGAGUGCAUUGAUUCGUCAAAAUUUUGGACAAGUGCCAUUAUCUGGGAUUGUGACGGCUUAUAUAGCGUCGAAGCGGGUAAUAAUUGGUUCAAAAAACUUUUUUUCAGUUCACUUGUUUAUUUUUGCCAGACAAAAUAAAGAGUAAUAUGACUUGAACCUGAACAUAAUAAUGAUAUUAUUUUUCUAAAAUUUAUUUUGACUUAACAAAUAUUUUUAUUACAAUUUUCAUAACAUAGAAAUAAACAUUAAAAGUGAAGGAGGUCGCUUCGACCUGAAUGAGGUCAAGUAAUUACGCCUUCUCGCACCUUGGUACCCGAACAAUGGGUGCGAGUUGCAGGUGCGAAACUUUUGAUUAAACAACUAACAAUAGAAAAUCUUGGCUAAGUUACAAUAGAAGUUUUCUAACGAACGUUACAUUGCCAACAAUGAUGCCGCCAGCUCAUUACUCGUAUCAAAGGCUCCCCUUGCCUUAGCCUCAUUCCACUGAACGAAUGUCUUCUCCCUCAAAACAAUAUUCUUUCUUUUCGCUCUUUGUCCUUUCUCCCGUUCUUCAUAGUUCGCUCUUGCCCUUCACCGCAAUUCCUCGUAUUUCUUUUACCUCAAUUCUGCCAUUUAAAGGCAAGACAAAACAUCGCUCCCUGUGUAAAAAAGAUAAAUGUUGAUACCUGAAAAUAGUAUGGAUAUAACAGUUACAAUAUUAAAAUGCCGUCAUGAAAAUCUCACAUCACAAAAAUCAUUGGAUAUAUUUAUAAAAAUAUGAAAUAUAAGUGACCCUCUUUCAGUUGCAGGAGUCCGUUGUGACAGAGAGUUUGUUGCAUUUCAAAAUUGUGCCAUGUAUUUAUUAGUAGCGCCCCCUUCCGAUGAGAGUGUGCAAUGCUCAUAGAUGAUCGUUGAUUGGUGCACUGAUGUGUGGAGGCGGGGCAACGAGCGAUGAGGAACAAGUGUUUUGCUUCUAGGAAGUACGUUCCCAUAUACACAUUGGCGUUUGCGAAGUGCCAUUGCAGUUUAGCCGAUCAGGGUGUCUGUGUUUACAAAGAAUCCCCAUGUUUCCACUGCCGCCAUGUCCUCGCACUGAUUGUGAGCGCUGAUUGUGUUUAUGAUACGGUCUCAUGUGGUCGUAAGAGGUCAAAGGCCAGUCUAGUGUGUCUGUGUGACUAUUUAUAGAAAUCCCAACACCACUUGGAUUUAUUGCGUGUACAACGUAGGUCAAUGCUCUUUCUAAUUAUUCUUUGUAAUGAAUAAGUGUUUCUUACCCGAAUGAGUAUCUCUUCGAACAAUACAUUAAGAUGUGGUUGUGGAGCGACUCCAAUUCCCCAGUGUGCCUAGAUUGCAAGAGAAGAAAAUAAUUGAAUGGGUGCCUGCAUAUCAGCAUAUUGCCAAAAACAAUACAAAAACAUCAACAGCUCUUACUAUAUCCCCACCCCGUCUUCCCUGAAUGCGGCACAGCAUUCCAAAUAUGUAAAGGGUAUGACACAUUCUGGUUUAAUUAUCUGAUCAGUAAAUUAGACAUCACAAACAGGAGGCAUUUGAUGUAUAACAUUUAGGACCGUAGAGCACAUGGUAUCCCUUCCCAAACAAACUAAUCAAAAACAAAAAAUAUGUAUAAGUGAAAGAUAUCCCAGAUUUCUUGAUGAAAAAGUCAAGCAAUAUAGAAGAACAAAAUGGAAAAAUAUAUCAUUUACCUGAAGUUCACAUAUCUCACAAUUGUGUUGAUGAGCUUCUUGUCUGUCACCAGGCGGACAAGGGCAUCAUGUGGUGGCAUGCCCGGUGAGAGCCACUGAUAGCGUUCUGUGAGCUCUCCAUGUUCACAUCUUGGCACACCCCCGAAACCUCCAGUCAGCACCCAUUCUCCGUUCCGGCGUGACGUCAUCUGCCCUAGCUACGCCUUGGAGACCGAUCACUUGCCCGCCCGCCCCAGACACAAGAUAUGUAUGUUACUGCCCCAAGAGGGCUACAGACAAUGAAUGCUUUUACAGUGCUGUGUUUCUUAUAAUUCGAAUAAACUUCAGCUCUGGCUUUCAGUUUUUUGGGUCGAUCAAUAAAAAUCUCAAAACAAUCCAUGAUCCCUGUCAGUCGAGGAAAUAGAGCUUUAAACACAGGAGGUAUUGUUCCCUGGAGGGUUUCUCUAUCUGGCCAGUGUAUCAGAAAGUCCAACUUAAGGUGAAGUAGAUCAGUCACACGCCCAAAAAUAUCUGCGAUUGUACUUUUUGCAAAGCCAGUGUGAAGAGACAGAUAUUCAAAAGGGAUAUUGUGACGUAAUUUUACUAGAGUUAUUAGAAGUUGCUGUGGAAGUGGCAUAAUAUUGCUCAUUUUUUUUGUGGAUACUGAUGUCAGGAAUGUGACUAAUGUAAAAAACACAGACAGAGAAAUCCCUGUCAAAAACUUUGACUGCUUGUCGUCAGUUAAAACGCUUGGGUCCAAACGCGAAAUUUUGAGUAGUUUAUUUGCCUGGUCCAAGUCUGCCUGCAAAGUUUCCUUUUCUUUUCUGAGCAUGUUGAUUUCUUGGAAAUACAUGUCCCUUUCCUCAUCACUUAGUUUGGAACUAUGGUCUUCAGCAGCAGCUUGUUCCAAAUGCUCUGGUUGCACUUCGUCUAUUCCAUUGGAUUCUUCACCACCAAAAGUUUUGUGCUGACUAUUCGCCUCAUCUUGAUCAACAUGUAUAGUACUAGGAGCGAUCUCUGAAAAUGAUCGUUUUCCAGAAUUUCGACGAUACCCAGAUAAGUUGUUCAUUUUGCGAUUUUUUCCUUUUCCAUUGCAUUUGUACGAUCUUCUCUUGGCAGGGACGUCAUUGAAGACUGAAGAAACACAGACGGUGCAUAAUCAGGAUGUAUUGGAUCAGUUUUUGCUUUGCCUAGGGUAUAAAGUAGAAAAACAAAUUAUUCAAUAAAAUGUUGUUACAAAAUAAAGACAUACAUAGGCAAAUACAUGUAAAUUUUAUUUGAGAGAUUCACAGCUGUCACAGUUUGGGCCAAACUCCUAAAAAUAAAAGAGAACCGAUGAAAAAAUAUUUAACAGAUUUUUUUCAAACCUACUUAUAAGUGUACACUGUUUUCAGUUAAUUGCACAAAAUGAUGCUAGAGUUAUUUUUAUUUCAAAUCUAAGUACAAUUCACAUGGAAGUAUGAAAGUUACAGUGCAUACUGUCCUGGGUUUUAGGGGAUUAAAUUAUUUGCACACAUAAAUCCAAAGUUCAUCCCAGCAUAGAUUCCUAUCACGACACAGUAAUUUUCAUGGAAAGCUCCCCCACCCCGACCUUCCCUACCCAGGGGAGGAGGGAGGGCCGGUUGCAGCUGGCACCAGCCAGAAUAUUUUGAUGGGGGGUGGGGGCAAUCUACAUGUAUAUGCUUAGAUGAGUUGGGUGAAGUUAGCGGCCACUUAUAUCUUUGUGUGCAAAUAAUUAGGUCCCUAAAACCCAGGAUUGCCAUCUUCUUAAUCGUAUUUCAGAAUCAAAAUUAGACGUUCGGGUUUCGUAAUUAAUGACUUGACUUGCUUGUCAUGUCACUGUCACAGACUCACAGUGUCGGUCUCAGCUCCCGAAAUUAUUUCACAAGAAAUUAACUUACGUAAAAUUCAGUACAUGGGACUGAGGAGAACUGUGAAUCUUAGCUUACACGAAGCAUCAUCGUUUCCUUAAUUUUUGGCCAAGAUAUUGAUUUGUCUGAUGGAAAAUAAUAAAAAAUUCGUAGUAAAUGAUAUCAAAAUUGUACCUGAUAAGAAGUGUUCCGAGCAAACAUACGUAUAUUUCGACGAUGGCUCCCAGCGUUUCUUGGUUUGGGGAUCUUUUCUCCCAAUCGCGUUUACCCAUUUUUCCCACCUUUCUCGUUGUUUUUCACGGUCUGGGAAGAUGGAAAAUGACAAUGACUUCCCUUUCAUCAUGUUAUGAUUGUGACAUCCUACAGCACAACAACUUUUCGGCAUUUUCAGUUAUUUUCCGCGACAGAAAGAUGGAAAAAUCAAGUAUAGUGUCUAGAUCUACCUACGUCUUCACUAGUUCACAAUGCAUACAAAUGGUUCGUUGCUCGCGUCGCUAAGGAGUUGUUUUCACCCAGGCAAUGCGGGGGGUCCGCAUUCUAGCGAAAGUACCCGGAUGAUCGGAACCGAGAAUUCAUGCUGGUUGCACACAUGGUGUACGAGUCCUCGCCACUUGCUCUGGAAGAAAAAUUAUAAUAUUGAAAGUUCAUUAAAUUUACUUUUAUUAUUAUUUUAAAAAAGGGAACAAAAGAACAAAGAGAAUGCAAUGUAUAUGUAUCAAUACUUAGAUAAUCUUUUAACUGCUUAUUGUUAUUUGAUUUGCUGAAUAUACUAUUACCAUAUAUUUACCUAAUUAUUUAGCUAAUUAUUUGUGUAAAGGACAAUUCAAAUAAUUUGUCUGACAUAAAUUUAUCAACUCACGUAAAACAGAUCUUCAUUGCCACUGCAAGUCUCGGCACAGUACCAAAAAUGGUUAACUACAUGCUUUACCCAGAACUUCAAAGGCCUGGUCUUUGCCCAACUCAAUGGAAAUACUUAAUGCUUUCCCCCACAUAAAGGUAACUUUCUAUUAAUUUCAUGUGUGCCAUCAACAUUAUGAUAUAUAUAUCCUUAUUUGUAUCGAGGCAUUCACAAAAAAAAAAAUAUAUUAAAGGGGUACUACGGGCUGACAAUAAUAUGGUUUGAAUAUUCAUGACAGUAUAACUGUUUUUUGCAAAAUAUUGUUAAACUUUUAAAAUUCCAUAACUCUGUUAUUUGUCAUCUGAUUUUGAUGAAAUUUUCAGCAUUUUGCUCAGUGAAUUUUACUCUUUUUAUUUAGCUAUAAAUAUUUCCAGCCCCCUUUAAUUAAUCUCUUAUAAAACUUGAUUUUUCAUCCUCCAGAUUGAAUUAUUUUAAAAUUAUAUAAGUAAGGCAUCAUCAAAUAGGUUUUGCUUCAUAUACACAAAGUGAUGUUUAUCUUACCUUGGACACCUUCUUUCCUGUUUUUGGCUCCGUGCCAAACAUCCCAACUGUGGAUAAUAUCUGGAUAAUCUCGUCCUGUUAAAAAGAGUAUCAUUAAUCCAGUAAUUUCAAUUUUAAUUGCUACUACAUUGAUUAUGACAUGCAAAAAAAACAUCACUUUACAGAACAACAACCAGAUCCUCAUGACACCCCUGUCUCCAUAGUUGUGGAACAAGAACAAGAACAAGAUGCAGCGCGAUCCUCUAAUAUUGCAGAUUUGCGAAAAUAUUGAGGGGUCAUUACGUGCCCCCUCCCUGGACCAUUAGGGUUAAAGACUUGUGAAUAAUAAUUACCUGCAGUCAAAUCUAGUGAGGACACCCAAGCAUCUCAGCUGGUCAUCUUCAGAACCCCUGCCAUGUAGAAGAGCCUGAAGAAUGCGACUCUCCAUUUCAUUACGCAUGCCAAGGAAGGAUGACAACACAAGAUCUUGAGAUACUGCUGCUUUCAAGGAUGCAGUGAGAGUCGCCUUAUUGAUGCUUAUAGGCCAGUAACCGCACAGGACGUAAGCAUGCGCAAUUAUGCCCCCUAGGGUACGAUAGAGAUCUGUAGCAUGCAGCCUGAAAAUAAAGAUGAGAAACUACUAUCAGAUUUGAAGCAGAAUAAAUCUCAUGCCAAUUUUAUCAAAAUUCAAUCAUUCUUUUUUUCAUUUUUGGUUGAAAAAAAAUCUAAAAAUAAUAAGCGUACCUUAACAAACUCAAGGGGGUGGCUAUCUCCUCUGACAUUGGCCAGGACUGUCCUUUGCUUGGUAAAGCGGUGAUUCACAGAUGGGGAAUCAUUGUCCACGUCGGUCACUCGUACCCAUGGUCGACCAGCUGCCCCUAGAUCAGAACCACUGUCGGAAUCACUCCCACCACUACUCUCGGGCAACAAAUCUUCGGCUUCGCUGUCCAGCUCGGAUUCAGCUCUCCUCAAAUCCCCGGUUGCCUCUUCCAGAAUGCUCUCUUCUUCCUCUAAAUCGCUCAGGUUUGGCACCUCAUCUUUGACAACAUUGCUGCUACGAUCGAAGUCAACAUCCUCCAUCUCGACAUCGCUUUCCAGAUCCAUAUUUUGAAGAAAGUCUUGAAAAAACACCGAUGAAAAUCUUCGCAAAUGCACGCGAUUCAAUUGUAAACAAAAGAGGAUCUGGGCUCGGAAAUUUUCGGUGGUAACCGGAAAUUUUCGGACAGAAAAUUAUUCAAAAAAAUAUUUCAAAUUGCAGCAAAUUUAUGAUACAAUAUCACUAAAAAAAUAAAGUUUGUCUAAAUCUUGAUUACAAUCGAUUUUACAACGUAAACACGCAAUUUAAAUACCCGGUAGUAAACAUUUAAAUGUCCGAUUUUCUUCGUGAAUGCAGUUUCGGAUUUUUUUUUUGCUCCGAUUUCAAAGACCAAUCAGAGCCUUUGUAUCAUCCCUAGCUCGCCGAUUUUUUUGCUAAUAGAGAGUCUAUGAUUGGCUGAUACUGUUUCCAUUCAUAAUUCGCCUCCCCGUGAUCUACCUUCGCAGAAAUACUACGUAAACAACACCAUAUUUGGAGGGCCACGAUCGUGGCCCGUCGAUAUGUAUGGAAGGCCACGAUCGUGGCCCGCCGCAGAUAAGCAUGCCAAGGAAGGAUGACAACACAAGAUCUUGAGAUACUGCCGCUGUCAAGGAUGCAGUGAGAGUCGCCUUAUUGAUGCUUAUAGGCCAGUAACCACACAGGGCGUAAGCAUGCGCAAUUAUGCGCCCUAGGGUACGAUAGAGAUCUGUAGCAUGCAGCCUGAAAAUAAAGAUGAGAAACUACUAUCAGAUUUGAAGCAGAAUAAAUCUCAAGGCCAUGGAUACUGGGAAUCCUGUUCAACAGAAGGGCAAUUCCAAGCAAAAGUAGACAUUUUCUAAAAAUUUAUAUUGGCUCUAUUUCAAAUCUGGAUCAAAUUUUUCUAACAAAACUCAAAUGGAAUUUCAUAAAUACAAAAGGGGAACAUUAUUAGCCACAUUUUUUUUCUUACGCAUCUCCAUAUAGGAUAAUCCAAACCAUACAAGAAAUUCUAUACAUGGGACUACAUAUAUUGUUUUUUACUUAAUUUCAAUUUAACAGAAAACUAUUGCUUGUUUUGUAAAAUUUUCUUCUGGAUAAUCUGAAGGUUAUCAUUUUGCAUCAUAUCAAACAAAAAUUUUAAAAUAAAAGUUCAUUUUACGUUGCCCACAAGUGGAUAUUUCUGAUGUCACUCCGUAACCAGGUAUGGGUUUACGUUUUAAGUCGUAAUUAAUGAAAUAAUGCACCAAUUUUUUAAUGUAAUGCAGCAUAUUAAGCUAGAACAACAUAGAAUCCAAUCAAUAAAUUAUGAUAGCAAUUUAUAAUUCAGAGUUUGAGCAAUAUGUUUUCUCCUCAAAUAUGCAUGUCCAUUUUGCGUCACUCCGUAACCAUGUUUAUGAAUAUUCAUAUCUCCUUAAUUCAGUGGAUCAAAAUAACAAAUGUUAUUAUAUUGAAAAGUGGGUUUCAGCAACUACUGUCAGGUACCAUUACUUGGCAAAUAACUACUCAAAUGUGGGUGAUAUCUUUGUCUGAAUGCAAAAAACCUGUUUCUGAAUGUCACUCCGUAACCGUGGAACUGCCCAGAACUAUUCUCAGUGAUUUAAGAUUUUUGGAUCCAUUAUUAAAUUUUCCAGUGAUUGUAAGUUUUUUUGGGGAGAGGGGUAUUUUUGUUGCAUUUGCCUGUGAAAAAAAUUGAAACUUUUUAGCAAUUUCACUUUGCAGGGCCGAGUUUUGAUUUAAAGAUACAUGGGUUAGCAAAAUACAUGUACGACGCAUACAUUGUCUACUCAUCACAGUUAAUGUGUUAUGCACCCAUUAUGGACUUCACAAUCUUAACAUAAUCAUGAUGUAAAUAAUGGCCCAUCAGGUGCAAACGCUUUCUUGCUCGAUUUAGAUUGAGAAUGUGGAGAAUCUUCUUGCAGUAUUCCAAGGCCUUCCGUUUAACCUUUAAAAAACUAGGGGCAUCAUGCAAUCUUUUAAAUGGCUUGUCCAUUUCUGCUGCUGGAAGUAGCAGAGACGCCAAGAUGUGUUUAUAGUGGAGAUUGAGAUUUUUUAUGACUCCUUUGUCCAUCCGCUGUUUUACACUGGUUGUAUUCAGUGGAAAAAACACAAGUUCAAUGUUUUCCAGUGUUACUUUUGGAUGGGCUAGGCACUUAACAACAAUCAUGGCAAUCAGUUCUGCCUUCCCAUCUUGUCAAGUUUUUGCAACCAACCCCCAAAAUUCAUCCAUGCUUUCUUAUUGGCUUGAUACUUAACAGGAAGUUUCUUUUUCAUAUAGAAAAGCACUUGGACCAAUCAUGAAAAGUGGCAUCUUAUCACUCCUAUCAACUUGGCGCAAAAGAGGGCAGUGAUACACGUUUUAGACUGUAUGUUUUCUUGACAGUAUUGCAUUUAUUGAUAUCCAGGGGAAAGCCUAAAAGUUUUCUAUGGAUUAUGGUUGCACUACGUUUGGGCAACCAUUCCAGUCCAUUCAGACUUUCAUAAAGUUGUAUUCUGAGCAGCAUAUGCACAUUAGUACUGCUCAUAUGGUCAAUUCAUAUGAUUAAAAAUCCUGACCUACUUAUAGAGUAAACUUCGCCUUUGUCGACCUUCUGUCUUGAUUCCCCCCAUAGAAAAGCCCACUUUUCUACGUCGAACUAUUGCCCGAGUCAAUCAAGUUACUGGACAAUAUACUCAUAAAAAACAUGCAAUUUUCAUCUUCGAAGGUCUUCUAAGACGAACAAGACAAACAUUUGCCAUACACUCGAUCGUGACCAUUUCAGUACAGAUACACUCGUAUUAAAUCUACUCUAGACCGCCACACACUCUAAGCCAUUUAGUCACACAGGGAACAUCUCCACACCCCCUCAUACAUAAAUGCAAUACUGUCAAGGAACAAUAACCUAAUAAUUGAGUGUAAAGCUGGUAACACCAAUAAAAAGAUUUUGAGGGAGCCUUUGGUAUCGCAAGAAUGUUAUGGGUAAAUGAAGAGAUUAAACUAGGAUAACUGUGCUUCAUGUUACCCCAAAUUGUAUAAUCGUCCUUGAAAUCUGUGAUAGCAUUGUAUUUUUACCUGUGAUCGUUGUUGGGCACUUUUUCAAGAUGUCCAGUCAUAUAUUUGUCGGCGAAAGCCGGAAAAAAUAAUUGGAACAUCUCUUUAGUCACCCCGUCAUGGUCGACAGCGAUUUCAUCUUUUAGCUCGACCGUAAGCCGAUGGUGUUCUAGCUCGAGGUUUGACCUGUAUGCAUUCAGAACCGUGUCUAUGAUGUCAUGACGACUAACAACGAUUUUUCUAUUUGCACAAAGGUACAAAAAGGCCUGUGCUCUCCUUCUCUCAAGCUCGGUCAUGUCUGUUAUAUGAAUAUACAUAUAUUCCGCCAUCAGAAAAGCGGCACCUAUAGGCUAUGCAGAUGAACCAAAAAUGAGUUUACGAUAGUAAUUGUACACACUAUUAUAGUUAUCCAUUCUCUAUGGAAACUAAACACACACUGGUGUGCCCUGAAAAGUAUCGUUUAAAAAAUACAAUGAUUAAAGCGCAUCCAUAAUUAAAUGUUCUGAAAACAUUAUAUUCCAUGUCCCUGUUAAAGUUGUCCUGGCUGAAAUACAGCCUGCUCAGGGUCAAAGUGUCUGCAGGUUGUAGCCGCCAGUCUCCUCUAAGUCCAUCAGUGGAGUUGAAGUCCACCCUCAGGACUUGGUUGGGGAGGAAGGCAUUGCUUGCUGUCCAGAAGGUGAAAAACUCCAUGAAUUGGUCUGAACGUAGAGAUGCCAUCCACGUCUUCAAGAAUAUGAUCACCCUUUCCUCCAUUAUCCUAUUCACAUCAUCUUCGGAGAAGACAGGGAAGAUAGCAUCUUCCAGCUUGGUCGCAUCUGGGUAUGCGUGCUCGAUGAGGAGCACAAUAUGCUCCUCGCAUACUCCAUGCCACAAGCUUCUGUACGUAUCGAGCCCUUGUCCCUUCUGUAGAAAGGCAUGAUAAGGCCUAUAUACAGUAACAGCACUUGCCAAACUGGCAAGCACCUCUUGCACGUUCUGGUUGGUGACCCUUUGUCUAGAAGAGAAAAAAGAAAUCAGAUGAAUAAAAGUGCAUGUUUACCCCUGCCCCUUGACCCCAAAAUUUAAUCUACGGAUUAGAUUUAACAUCUAAUAAGCUUCCACAAAUUGUAAUACCCCCAAACCCCAAAUAAGAAAAAAAGGGGAUUACCCUGCUCUCUGAUUUGAGGAAUUGAUAAAGGUUUGAUUUUGCACAUUUAGCUCAUUGCAAUUUUUUUGUGUUCAUUUUACCACAUUUAAUUUCUUCACAAUAUAGUAGCAACAUGAUACUUUGUUGUAGUUUCUUUUGUCAUUAUCCUUCCUGCUGUACAGAGGAACCUUUAUUUCUUGAUAAUCAGUUACAACUGCAUUUACUGUAUCAAAACUGGGUAGACUACAUAACGUUAUACCAAGUUUAACAAACCACUGACUGUGAUGAAAUUCAAUCCUUACUUUUCUGUGUCUCUUUGCAAAACAGUCACUGCAGUAACUCGGCAGGCAAUCCAAACAAUUGAACAACCCCAUGAAAUGUUCACAUUCAUCACGCACGAAUUUGGGCUCCUCCCAUCAUGUGCUAUAUCAAAUGCCAUAGUUGGUGGCCACAUAGUUAAUGAAUUGGCUUCUGAAAUCCAAUUGUUAAGAGUCUUUGGGUUGGGUAGUGAUCCCGUUGGAGUCUCGAGAAUGUCUUCAAAAUGCAGGGCUUUCUCUUUGUCCGUGUCUGCUUGAGACGUGGCCGGUGCUGCAAGCUCUGGCAUCCUCUUCGCGGCGAAGACCAAGGCAACCAAUUCAUCCUUUUUCCCACUUUUAAGUUCCUUUUCUGGAGAAAGUCUUUCAAUGCACCCACGUUCCACAGUUUAAUAUUGUCGAUUGAUAUAUCCUCAUCAUCCAUGAUGAAACACAAAAAACAAGUUAUAAAUCUGAUAAAAUUGUUGAAUUACAGAGCAAAACAAUUGGCAAACUUAACCUAGGCUCAUAUAAUUUGCUGUGUAUGAUACUAGCCUAGAUCCUAGCAAUUCUAUUGAUUUUUAAGUCAGAAGGUCAAAAGUGAAGUCGCCAUCUUCCACUUUUCUUGCUUGACCAAUAAAUCAAUUUUCCGCGUUACAGACGGGCGUAUUAUGUGCUCGCCUUAGCAACACUCUUGUUGUUUUCACUGGAUCAUCUGAAAAAAUUGCGACAUGAAAAUAUGCUGCCUGGUGAAUAAGAACUGCAGCUUUCUUAUAAUCUCUGUGGGCUGUGUUCCAUCCAGUGUGUCUUCAUGAGUUUCUUUUGGUUGCUCAUACUGUCCAGAAGACUUGUUACAUGUGUUUUCUGACUAUAAAUUACCUAUUACUGAAUUAAACAAACAACAUAAUGUUCUUUCAUUAACUUAUUGAUGGGUGAUUCCAUUUGUGUCGUACGGGACAUUUAGAGAACAUUUGACAGUUUUUUUACAAGAAAAACAAAAAAUAUUCCAGUAACUAAAGGUGAUCAUCAAGUACUACCAGAGUGUUAGGAAAACCAAGACUUAACAUGACUUGAAUUCACAUCCUGUAUAAUACAGAUUUAAAAUAGUAAUGUGUCGUACGGACGCAGAAAAAUUUGCUUUUUUAGAAACCCAAGUUUGUACUCUAAAGUGUGAGUUGGACAGAUAAUUUUCAUAGAAACUGAACUCAAAUUGAUAUUCAAUUACCCAAGAACAAACACAUCUAUGAAAGAAAGCAAAAAUAAACAUUCAUGAAUAAAUAAAGCAAAUUACAAUUUUCGAGAACAUUGUGGCGAACAGGACACUCAAAAUGUGUCAUACGGGACAUCUCUAAAUUGAAGCCAAACUUUCUUAUUUUAUGUCUCUUUGACUUUUUCGAUCACUUUAUUUUGCUGAUGAUAAUUAUAAUCCUAUCAAACUAAAGACAUUCAUUAUGUUAGAAACCGCUUUUGGCUGAAUAUUUCUGUUAAUAUAUCAUAAACAAAACAAUGUGUCGUACGGGACACUUGUGUGGCGUACGGGACACAUGUGUGUCGUACGGGACACUUGUGUGUCGUACGGGACACUUGUGUGUUGAACAGACUCAAGUGUUGUACUGGACAGCCUAAAUAAAACAAUGAACUUUUUAUCAAUCAGAAGGGGAGCAUUGUCCCUAAAUUCUUCCUUUUAAUGAAAACCCUUUUAAUAAGUAGUCAUUCAGGACAAUAUAAUUAAUCUGGAGCAAUAUAUUAUCUUUUUUUUCAUGAUGGGAAAUGUACAAUGGUUCACAGCAUUUUUACGAGCUGAAAAACUUGAGGUUUUGUGUGAAGUUAUAUAUUAGUGAAUUAAUUGAUGAUUUCCAAUACACUAUUUAAACAAUGAAUGAAGGAAACUGUUUGUGUAAAUUAUGGGGCUAAAAUGUUAUGAUUUUUCAUAUAAAAUGUAUAUAUACAUGAUAUAUGUCACAACUCACUUGAAAUCCCACAAAAUAUUUUUUUUUCUAAAGAAAUGUGAUUCUACUUUUUCAAAGCUUUCUGCAUUUCAUGAAACCAUAUGGGUUGUCUUAUUUUCCAGAUUUUUUUUAACAACAUGGUUUUUCUUAUUUUCCAGAUUUUUUUUUUUUUACUUGAAAAAAGUAAGGAGUUUCAAUACUGUAUGUAAAAAAAUUAGUGAUCAUCAAGGGAAGUCCAAAUAGAUGAUAGGUAAAUAUUUUUUUUUACAUCUUAUAAUAAUUUCACAUUGGCAUGCAAGAGGAAGUCAUCUUCCAGGCUCGGGUGAAUCAAUUAUAAAGAUUUUCUUUUCAUGCUCAAUGACAAAGAAAUUAACCUGCUCUGACCAGUGAAAAUCACCAGUUUAGCUGAAGGGACUCACAUAAGAAUACGCCUACAUGUACAUGAAGUCAAUUAAAAUGGUUAGAUUCACCUUUUUCAUGUUCUAUGGAGAUUAAAAAAAAGUACUAUUUCAGUUCACUUUAUGUCAAAUCAAUUACUUAAAUUAAAAUAGGCCUACUAUUUAUAGUUUCUGAACCCAAAUCCUGCAAUUAAAUGCAGUAUAUAUUGUGUCGUACGGGACAUGUCCCGUACGACACACACUUUGUCGUACGGGACAACUUUUAAUAGGACAAUUAUUGAAAAAUGAAGGGCAGUAAUUAAAUCCUUAUGGGAUAAAUCGAUCACCCAUGGGUCAGAGAUAGAGAAACUGUUAUCAUCAAAAGUUAGAAUUGUAGGAAAAACAUUUUCAUGUGUCGUACGGGACAUUGCCAAAAAUAGGUUCGGAAAAAUCAGGGCUGCCCCCAUUAUGGAUCAUGAAAAUGUUGUAGAUAUUAUUUGGAACCAUCAAUGAUACAUUAUUCCAUUGACCCGCAAUAUUUUCAAUCUUCUCGUGCUUUGCCAAUAAUCGUUUCAGGCAGUGUGUGUACUUGACUAUUUAUUUAGGAAAAAUUAUUGAAAAUUGAAAAUUCAAUUGUUUCCCAAAAAAAAAACUAUGUCUGACUUCCUUUUUGGUUAAAACUCAUAUUUUUCAUAAAAUUUAGGCAUCAUAGUAAAAUAUUACACUACUUAUGACUUAUUGAAAGCAUGUUGAAAUUUAUGAUAUUUUUGAAGUUCUAGUGUGGAAUCGCCCUGAUACAAGAGCAUUCAUGCAGGGACGAACAUAGGCAAGUGAACACAAUGAUGAUGCUAAAAUACUACUUCCAAACCUCUUCUGAUCAUUGUAACUCAUAGUGCUCCCUUCUCUUCAACUUUUCACUUGUGAAAUAUUUUGUGAUAAAUGAUAAUGUUACACGAAAUGUAAGCUCUUCCAUUUUCUCCUGGACGUCUCUCGUUAAAGAUUUUCAGACGGGUAAUUUGAACUUUUGAAAACGCUUGAAAUUUGUACUAUUUGGCAUACGAUUCUGAAAGUUUGAAUACCUUGUGGUACUUCCUCUGCCCCAUUAUUGCCUGGACUUCUGUGGAUACCAUAUUAUGCAAUUAACUAUCUUUAAGCUUUAUGAAGUGAAUGAUUUCGUUCCUAGUCACAUCAUACUUCUCUAGGCAUGGCAUCUUUUUAUGGUUGCCAACUUAGACAAGAUGUGUCCUAGCUUCAGAAAAACUGAAGGAUGAUUUACUGAGCCAUCCCCAGCCUGUCCUACCAGCUUUACUAUUUCCACAUUUUUUAUCAAAGUGGGCAGGUGUCAAGGAUCCAUCCAUCCCAAAGCAUUGUCAACUUGUCCUAAUUAUUUUUAUUCAAUGAUGUUUUUCUUUGUUUAAAUAUAGAGGUAGAAAAUUUGUAACGUCAGGGACACUAUAUUCACUUAUUGUAUUGUUUUAAAUUAAAGCUUUUCCUUGUACUUUGUCACAUUUUUGUUAUGUAUUUGGAAAUGGAAAUAAAGUGAAAUGAAAUGAAAUGAAAUCUUUAACAAAAUGUCUGAAACGUAAUUACCUUCAUCUAGUUCCAUCAGGAGUCUUCCAACAACAGUCAGUGCCUUAACAGCUGGUGGAGCUUGGUAUAUGUUUUUGUUGGUGUCCUCAGAGUGACCCAAGUGUUUGUAUACAUAGGCUCUGUCCUGCUACGGGACAUCCAUCAGCGAAAACAGUGUGCUGACCCUGUGACGGUUCUUGGUUGCUGUCAGGAGCUCGGGUUUAUUUGAGGUCAAGCCCCUCGCACACAUUGCUGACAGCGUGCCAACCAGAAACAUGAUCUUGGGAUCCGCCGGUACUUUGGAACAUGAAGGGGUUGGUCUGGGAGACCCCAACGUCUUCCCUAACCUUCUCAUCAGCCAAGAGGCGCAUAGCUGCAUGUGUGUCUUCUGGAAAAAGAACAGAAAUGAGAUGUUUCACCCCCUCUGCUUUGGUAUAACCUAUAAAAUUGUCUCAAAAACACUGAACAAUAAUUUUUGAUUAGAUACAGUUUUACGGACUUUCAGGGACCCAUCUACGGCCCUAAGGCAUCUGCACCCAAGAAGCAUAUGGGACCCAUAUUGGUGAACCCAUAUAAGACAGAUGAGACCCAUAUAUCAACAAUUUCCAAACUGGGUAUAAAAUGGGCAAUAUAUAUGGACAAACCAUCUGGGGCCCAAAGGCAUCGAUCUGCAUGGGACCCAUAUGGGUAAGCCGAUAUAAGCCAGAUGGGACCCUUAUCACUGAUUUCAAACUUGGCAUUACAUGGGCUGUGUUACAGGAGCAAUAUAUGGGGCCCAUCUGGCAUCCGGAUCCAUGAGUGCUAGCUAUGGCCAAUGUGAAUGGAUUGUGGGCUGGGCUUUUAUGUGGAGUGGGUCUCGUUACAUGGCCAGGACGCGCGUUUCCGUUUUACACCCUGGCGAAGGCAUUUUCCGGAAAAAUAGCCAAAAAGCGACUAGUGAAGAGUCUACACACGUCGCUGGUUGCAGGCGAGUCCCACACCACCGCAUGCAAUCUGCACAGUUACUGAUCAGAGCACAGAGUUCCUCGGCACUUCAUGUAUGUACAGAGAGCAGUCAUAUGAGUGAAAUCCGAACAUGCUUUUGCAGUUGCGUUUUUUUCUAAAAAUAAAUUAAUAACUAAAUGAAUAGAAUGACAGACAAAAUAAAAAUAAACAGAUACCUAUAAUAUAAAGACAAAUUGAAGUUUGAUGGAUUGAUACACUUAGAUGCCGAAAGGUAGAUAUAAAAGACGGAUAAAUAGAUAAAGACAUAUACAGAUAGAUAGAAAUAGAAAGACAGAGAGAUGGAUAGAUAGAUAGAUGGGGGGAGAGAACUUGAGAGAUGGAGAGAUUUUAUAGAUAGAUAGAUAUAUGGAUGGAUAAAGAGAAAUAGAGAAAGAGAAAAAAAGACAGACAGAUGGAUAGAUAGAUAUAAGAUAGAGCAUUAGAGAGAUAUAUAGAUAGAUAGAAUGAGAGACACGGAGAAGAUAGAAAAAUUAACAGAUAGAUACAUAGAUGAAUAGAUAGAUAGAGAGAGAGAGAGAAAUAGAGAAAGACAGACAGAUGGAUAGAUAGAGGGGCUCUGAGGGGAGAGAGGGAUAGAGAAUUUGAGAGAUAGGUAGAUGUUAGAUAGAUAGAUAAAGAAUGAGAGAGACAGAGAAGAUAGACAAAUGAACAGAUAGAUAGAUACUGUAGUUACAUAGAUAGAAGAUAGAUAGAUAGAUGGGGGAGAGAACUUGAGAGAUGUUAUAGAUAGAUAGAUAUAUAUAUGGACGGAAAGAGAGAUAAAAGACAGACAGAUGGAUAGAUAGAGGGAGAGAUAGAGCAUUAGAGAGAUAGAUAGGCCUAGAUGUUAGAUAGAUAUAUAGAUAGAUAAAGAAUGAGAGAGACAGAGAAGAUAGACAAAUUAACAGAUAGAUAGAUACUGUAUACAUAGAUAGAGAGAAAGACAGACAGAUGGAUAGAUAGAUAGAUAGAGAGAAUUUGAGAGAUAGGUAAGAUGUUAGAUAGAUAGAUAAAGAAUGAGAGAGACAGAGAAGAUAGACAAAUUAACAGAUAGAUAGAUACUGUAGUUACAUAGAUAAAUAGAUAGAUAGAAGAUAGAUAGAGAGAGAGAAAGACAGACAGAUGGAUAGAUAGAUAGAGAGGGGCUCUGAUGGGAGAGAGAAUUGGAGAGAUAGGUAGAUGUUAGAUAAAUAGAUAAAGAAUGAGAGAGACAGAGAAGAUAGAAAAAUUAACAGAUAGAUAGAUACUGUAGUUACAUAGAUAAAUAGAUAGAUAGAUAGAUAGAUAGAGAAAGACAGACAGAUGGAUAGAUAGAUAGAGAGGGGCUCUGAUGGGAGAGAGGGAUAGAGAAUUUGAGAGAUAGGUAGAUGUUAGAUAAAGAAUGAGAGAGACAGAGAAGAUAGACAAAUGAACAGAUAGAUAGAUACUGUAGUUACAUAGAUAGAUAAAUAGAUAGAAGAUAGAUAGAUGGGGGAGAGAACUUGGGAGAUGUUAUAGAUAUAUAUAUGGACGGAAAGAGAGAAAAAAGACAGACAGAUGGAUAGAUAGAGGGAGAGAGAGAGAGAGAGAGAGAGAUAGAGCAUUAGAGAGAUAGAUAGAUGUUAUAUAGAUAUAUAGAUAGAUAAAGAAUGAGAGAGACAGAGAAGAUAGACAAAUUAACAGAUAGAUAGAUACUGUAGUUACAUAGAUAUAUGAAAAAUAUUUGAGAGAUAGAUAUAUAGAUGGAUAGAGAGAAAGACAGACAGAUGGAUAGAUAGAUAAUUUGAGAGAUAGACAGACAGAUGGAUAGAUAUAUAGAGAAUUUGAGAGAUAGACAGACAGAUGGAUAGAUAGAUAGAGAAUUUGAGAGAUAGACAGACAGAUGGAUAGAGAAUUCGAGAGAUAGAUAGACGGAUAGAGAGGAAUAGAGAGAGAGAAAAAGACAGACUGAUGGAUAGAUAUAAUUUGAGAGAUAGAUGGAUAGAGAGAAAUAAAAGAGACAGAUGGAUAGAGAGAGAAUUUGAUAGAUGUUAGAUGGAUAGACAGAUAGAUGAGAAUGAGAGAGAGAGUAGAUAGACAAAUUGACAGAUAGAUAUAUCAUGUAGUUCCAUAGAUUGAUUUCUAACAUACACUACUCAAAAAAAGUUAAGGACCACUUUUUAAAACGUACAUAAAGAUUUUAUACAAGGUGUUUUAUU